rnacentral:misc_RNA from 1 species
CAACCCUCAAGCAUAGCUUGGUCUUGGGCACUGCCGGCAACGGCUUGCCUCAAAAUCAGUGGCGGUGCCAUCGAGCUCUACGCGUAGUAAUUAUAUCCUCGCGAUUGAGUCUUGGUGGAUGCUGGCCAGCAACCCUCAAUUUUUUAU